rnacentral:rRNA from 1 species
AUUACAGGGUAGCAAUAUUCUGUGGUCGGAGCGGCGCAUGGGUGCGUAACACGUGGGUAAUCUGCCAUGAAGUUUGGAAUAACUUGCUGAAAGGCGAGCUAAUACCGGAUGUGACAAUUAGGAGGCAUCUUCCGAUUGUCAAAGCUGGGGACCGUAAGGCCUGGCGCUUCAUGAUGAGCCCGCGGCCUAUCAGCUAGUUGGUGAGGUAACGGCUCACCAAGGCUAAGACGGGUAGCUGGUCUGAGAGGACGACCAGCCACACUGGAACUGAGACACGGUCCAGACACCUACGGGUGGCAGCAGUCGAGAAUUUUUCACAAUGGGCGCAAGCCUGAUGGAGCGACGCCGCGUGGGGGAUGAAUGGCUUCGGCCCGUAAACCCCUGUCAUUUGCGAACAAAUUGGUUCAAUUAACACCUGAACCAUUGAUAGUAGCGAAAGAGGAAGGGACGGCUAACUCUGUGCCAGCAGCCGCGGUAAUACAGAGGUCCCAAGCGUUGUUCGGAUUCACUGGGCGUAAAGGGUGCGUAGGUGGUGAGGUAAGUCGGAUGUGAAAGCUCGGAGCUCAACUCCGAAAUGGCAUUGGAAACUACCUUGCUCGAGGGUUGGAGGGGGGACUGGAAUGCUUGGUGUAGCAGUGAAAUGCGUAGAUAUCAAGCGGAACACCAGUGGCGAAGGCGAGUCCCUGGACAACUCCUGACACUGAGGCACGAAAGCUAGGGGAGCAAACAGGAUUAGAUACCCUGGUAGUCCUAGCCGUAAACGGUGCACGUUUGCUGUAAAAGGAAUCGA